CCUACCCUUAGGACCGGGAUAACCCUGGGAAACUGGGGAUAAUACUGGAUAGGCAAUUUUUCCUGUAAUGGUUUUUUGUUUAAAUGUUUUUUCGCCUUAGGAUGGGUCUGCGGCCGAUUAGGUAGUUGGUUAGGUAAUGGCUUACCAAGCCGUUGAUCGGUACGGGUUGUGAGAGCAAGAGCCCGGAGAUGGAACCUGAGACAAGGUUCCAGGCCCUACGGGGUGCAGCAGGCGCGAAACCUCCGCAAUGUGAGAAAUCGCGACGGGGGGAUCCCAAGUGCCAUUCUUAACGGGAUGGCUUUUCAUUAGUGUAAAGAGCUUUUGGAAUAAGAGCUGGGCAAGACCGGUGCCAGCCGCCGCGGUAACACCGGCAGCUCUAGUGGUAGCAGUUUUUAUUGGGCCUAAAGCGUCCGUAGCCGGUUUAAUAAGUCUCUGGUGAAAUCCUGUAGCUUAACUGUGGGAAUUGCUGGAGAUACUAUUAGACUUGAGACCGGGAGAGGUUGGAGGUACUCCCAGGGUAGAGGUGAAAUUCUGUGAUCCUGGGAGGACCGCCUGUUGCGAAGGCGUCUAACUGGAACGGUUCUGACGGUGAGGGACGAAAGUUAGGGGCGCGAACCGGAUUAGAUACCCGGGUAGUCCUAACUGUAAACGAUGCGGACUUGGUGUUGGGGUGGCUUUGAGCUGCUCCAGUGCCGAAGGGAAGCUGUUAAGUCCGCCGCCUGGGAAG
rnacentral:rRNA from 1 species